UUGGAGGGCAAGUCUGGUGCCAGCAGCCGCGGUAAUUCCAGCUCCAAUAGCGUAUAUUAAAGUUGUCGCAGUUAAAAAGCUCGUAGUUGAAUUUCGGGAUUGACGUGAUGGUCAUGCCUUAAGGGGUAUGAACUGUUACUGUUGAUUUCUCACCUUCUGGAGAAACUUGAUGUCCUUUAUUGGGUGUCUUGCGGAUCCAGGACCUUUACCUUGAAAAAAUUAGAGUGUUUAAAGCAGGCAUUUUUGCUCGAAUACAUUAGCAUGGAAUAAUAGAAUAGGACGGCAUGGUUCUAUUUUGUUGGUUUCUAGGAUCACCGUAAUGAUUAAUAGGGAUAGUUGGGGGCAUUAGUAUUCAAUUGUCAGAGGUGAAAUUCUUGGAUUUAUUGAAGACUAACUACUGCGAAAGCAUUUGCCAAGGAUGUUUUCAUUAAUCAAGAACGAAAGUUAGGGGAUCGAAGACGAUCAGAUACCGUCGUAGUCUUAACCAUAAACUAUGCCGACUAGGAAUCAGACGAUGUUAACUUUUUAAUGACUCGUUCGGCGCCUUACGGGAAAC
rnacentral:rRNA from 1 species